rnacentral:sRNA from 1 species
UCGAGGUCCAUGUACCUGGUGGAGUC